AAGUUUUAUAUCUGUUCUUAUCAGUUUAAUAUCUGAUAUGUCCUUCAUUUGAGGACUGUAUAUUAAAUUUAUUUUUGAAACAGGGAUGGAAUAGCAGCUUGCUCUGUCCACCCCAGGCAUCAACCUGAUAUUGUGUUGUCUCUGGAAACGGUGC
rnacentral:snRNA from 1 species